GCCAAGCUAACUUGGUAGAGCAUGAGACUCUUAAUCUUAGGGUUGUGGGUUCGAGCCCCACGUUGGGCA
rnacentral:tRNA from 1 species